rnacentral:rRNA from 1 species
CACGUAGGGCGCGAGCGUUGUCCGGAAUUAUUGGGCAUAAAGAGCUCGUAGGCGGCCUGUUGCGUCCGCUGUGAAAGCCCGGGGCUUAACCCCGGGUCGGCAGUGGAUACGGGCAGGCUAGAGGUAGGUAGGGGAGAAUGGAAUUCCCGGUGUAGCGGUGAAAUGCGCAGAUAUCGGGAGGAACACCGGUGGCGAAGGCGGUUCUCUGGGCCUUACCUGACGCUGAGGAGCGAAAGCGUGGGGAGCGAACAGG